CCUACGGGGUGCACCAGUGGGGAAUAUUCCGCAAUGGGGGAAACCCUGACGGAGCAACGCCGCGUGAGUGAAGAAGUUUUUAGGAAUGUAAAGCUCUGUCAUGAGGGAAGAAGAAAGUGACGGUGCCUCAUAAGAAAGCUCCGGCUAACUACGUGCCAGCAGCCGCGGUAAUACGUAGGGAGCGAGCGUUGUCCGGAAUUACUGGGCGUAAAGGGCGCGUAGGCGGUCUGUUAAGUCAAAUGUGAAAUACACUGGCUCAACCAGUGGGCUGCGUUUGAAACUGGCAGACUUGAGUGCAGGAGAGGAGAGUGGAAUUCCUGGUGUAGCGGUGAAAUGCGUAGAUAUCAGGAAGAACACCGGUGGCGAAGGCGGCUCUCUGGCCUGCAACUGACGCUGAGGCGCGAAAGCGUGGGUAG
rnacentral:rRNA from 1 species